rnacentral:misc_RNA from 1 species
AUAAAAAAGGUCCAAAAUACAGAUCUAAAGCUCAUAAAUUUCCUUCUACUCAUAGUGGUCAAAUUCACUCUUUGCAUUCAAUGGUAUCGAUUGCUUGAUCUAGUUACUAGUUUGAUUUCUUCUUAUUCCUUUUGGCUUGUGCAACGCUUCUACAUCCUUAGGAUUGGUGUGCAUCAUCCUCAACAUCAGAUUCAAGUUGAUCAAAUUUCGUUCAUAAGGAGCAACAUGUUUUUCUCUCUUCUUUUGUU